GUACACGCUGUGACUAGGCAUAUCAAUAAGCGGAGGAAAAGAAACUAACAAGGAUUCCCCUAGUAACGGCGAGUGAAGCGGGAAGAGCUCAAAUUUGAAAUCUUAAAGGGUUUCCCUUUACGAAUUGUAGUUUAAAGAAGUGUUUUCUGUUGAGGUUCUUGGUAAAAGUUCUUUGGAAUAGGACAUCAUAGAGGGUGAGAAUCCCGUAUUUGACCUUUACUUUCAACUUUGUGAUACACUUUCAAAGAGUCGGAUUGUUUGGGAAUGCAGUCCAAAAUGGGUGGUAAAUUUCAUCUAAAGCUAAAUAUUGGCGAGAGACCGAUAGCGAACAAGUACCGUGAGGGAAAGAUGAAAAGAACUUUGAAAAGAGAGUUAAACAGUACGUGAAAUUGUUAAAAGGGAAGCGUUUGACACCAGUGUUGUUUUUCUGAAAAUCAAUUAAAGAACUGUUUAUGCUAAGCUUGUUUAGACUUUAUCAGCUAUCUGUUUAGUUUUGAGCUUUUCUUUAAUGCACUUUUCAGUUAACAAGUCAACAUCAAUUUCUUUUGCUGUAAAAAAGCUUGAGGAAGGUGGCUUGAGAUUCGUCUUAAGUGUUUAUAGCCUCUUGCCUAUGCAGUCGGAGAGAUUGAGGUCUGCAGCGUAGAUCCUUCGGGGCUAAAUGCAUUUGUGCUAAGUUAUAGCAUUUUAUAGACAACUUGUUGACUAUGAUUUGUCUUGUAGCUUACUCGCUUAUGUUAUUUUACCUACGCUUAGGAUGUUGACUGAUAUGUAGUCGUA
rnacentral:rRNA from 1 species